rnacentral:rRNA from 1 species
ACGGGGGAUGCAAGCGUUAUCCGGAUUUAUUGGGUUUAAAGGGUGCGUAGGCGGUUUGAUAAGUCAGCUGUGAAAUCUUUCAGCUUAACUGAAAGGGUGCAGUUGAUACUGUCAAGCUUGAGUAUGGUUGCUGUGGAUGGAAUGUGUGGUGUAGAGGUGAAAUGCGUAGAUAUCACACAGAAUAUCGAUUGCGAAGGCAGCUCACAAAGCCAUUAUUGACGCUGAUGCACGAAAGUGUGGGGAUCAAACAG